rnacentral:rRNA from 1 species
CCUACGGGCGGCAGCAGUGAGGAAUAUUGGUCAAUGGACGAGAGUCUGAACCAGCCAAGUAGCGUGAAGGAUGACUGCCCUAUGGGUUGUAAACUUCUUUUAUAUGGGAAUAAAAUGUUCCACGUGUGGGAUUUUGUAUGUACCAUAUGAAUAAGGAUCGGCUAACUCCGUGCCAGCAGCCGCGGUAAUACGGAGGAUCCGAGCGUUAUCCGGAUUUAUUGGGUUUAAAGGGAGCGUAGGUGGAUUGUUAAGUCAGUUGUGAAAGUUUGCGGCUCAACCGUAAAAUUGCAGUUGAAACUGGCAGUCUUGAGUACAGUAGAGGUGGGCGGAAUUCGUGGUGUAGCGGUGAAAUGCUUAGAUAUCACGAAGAACACCAGUGGCGAAGGCGGCUCUCUGGUCUGCAACUGACGCUGAGGCUCGAAAGCAUGGGUAGCGAACAGGAUUAGAUACCCGGGUAGUC